ensembl:lncRNA
CUCCUAUUAAUCAGCAUGGUACACAUUUAAAUAAGCAUUUUAGACUAGACUAACAGGUGAUAUGUAGACCCUUGGAAUAAGAACACAAAUCAAAUUCAAAUUAGUUAGAGCAAAUUAUGUUUUCCUUGAAACCCUUAUUUAGUUUGUGAUUACAACUGAAGUGCUGGUAUGAGAUCAAAUUUAAUUGAUAAUGAAGGAAGCCUAUUGUGGGAUUUUUUUAAAAGGUUUUAUUAUUGUAGAUCAAUGCUGACAAACAAAACAACAGAUUCUGAUCAUUGAUAUAAUGCUUGAAUAGAAGCAGAAUAACAGAGCCUUAUAUAUAAAUAUGUAACCGAAUAUCAAUAUGCAAUCAUAACGUAAAGGGCCAGUUUUGUACAGUGUUGUUUAUAAGUUUGUCAUAAACUUUGUAAACAUUAGACAUGUAUAUAAUUGAGUCGUGAUAUAUUUCAUUCAUACAUUGCUAAUGUUUCCUCAGUUCACAUUGAAACACAAGUCAAUAUUAGAUAUGGGUUUUAAUGAGUUGGUUGGUCCAUAGAAAACAGAAAUGAGCAUCUACAAAUGAUUUCUGGAGAUUUAUAAUGCAGCAAUUGGAUAUGCAAUGAUACAUGGGUAAAUAUGGAGUUCUGUAGCUCUCAACUAUGCUGUAUCUAAAACAUAAACAUGCCUAAAAUGCUUAGAAAAUGUCUUUCUCUCUCUUUCUCUCUCUCUAUCUGAGCAGACAUCAGACGAAAAGAAAUGACUGAAGAAACAUAUUUCAAACUGAGCCAUUGGCAUGACCGAUCAAGAUUAUAUCGCUCCAAACUGUUUCUGGGAUGGGAUCUUAACACUAGGCUUUGUUUGUUUAAGCAUGAUGCAAUGGCAAAAAUUCCCACAGGACAAUCACUUCAGACACCUCUUUUCAUGAAAGUCUCGCCCAAAACAUGUUUUCGUAUGUAAUGCAUAACACGUGUAGCAUGGUACUACUGACAAGGCCUGGCCGUGAGGGUUACAUUAUAACUGUUGGUGGACCGACGGACCACCAACACGACCAGGAUAUGCAGGGCAAGAUAACAAGGAAACAGUCAUUUAUCUAUUAUGUUAUGUUUACUACCUAUGAUAUUAAGUGACCAAUGAGGUUCAACCACCCUGAUCAUCCUAAAGCAACAACGCUAGGGAGGCACCAGAGGAGCUGAGGGCAGAAGGCCCAAACCAAGGGGAUGAGCGAGGUGGGUCGUGAGGCAGACAUGGUUGCGUUUGCUUCUUAUUGUUGGUGAGAGCAUGUUGUUGAGGGAACUCCGGCAAUCAGCUGGUUGGAGAAAGGUGUGAGUGUGGUGUGAUGGUCUUCCUAUAUGACUUUAUCGGGAAAUAAAAAGUGUGGAAUAAGUGAGUGGGAGAGUGGAAACACAUCAACACGAACGUAAUAGGGUGACUUGAACGCAACUCGGUUUCAGGAGAAGCCGUUGAAACAGUCAACAGAGGAAAAAAACCGCAGUACAGACAGAUGGACAUUCGUCCUUGCUUCAUGAACACGGAUGAAGGGUGGGGUAUUCAAACGUCGGCGGCACGAGCUACCACAUUUUCAUUUUCCAUUCAAUGAUUGGUCCCUGUUGCAGAGACUUCCCCCGCAUGAGACAUGAAUGAAACCAUCAAAUAACAUUCCACAUCGGAAAGCCGGGAGAAAGAGGCCCCCUCUUGACCAGAGACACGUGUCCAGCAGUGACCACAGCGCCCCCUACAGUGUCCUCCUCGCCCCGCUGCUCCUGCCAUGCCUGCUCACAAAGUUUCUCCAGCUGUUGUCUAGAAGGUAGAUCUCCACCUGCCUUGACUCUAAGUUAAUAAUCCAUUAAGACAAGAAGAACGCAAAAUGACGAUGGAGCAAGGUGGAGACUUGGGGCUUGUCUGUGGAAUGUCUUGAACAUCGUUCUGCCAGUCUCUCUCUAUCUUUCUCACUGUGUGUGUGUGUGUGUGUGUGUGUGUGUGUGUGUGUGUGUGUGUGUGUGUGUGUGUGUGUGUGUGUGUGUGUGUGUGUAUAAGUGUGUGUCUUUGCGUGUGUGUGUGUGUGUGUGUGUGUGUGUGUGUGUGUGUGUGUGUGUGUGUGUGUGUUUUGUGUGUGCACAUUGCAUGCACUUGAAUGAUAUGAAAGAGUUGACACAAGAACGUGAGUUGGUUGAGGUUCCGCUUCCAUUGAGCCAGGCUCAUAUUUCCACAAGCUCCUUGCAAGUGCGGGUUUUAAGGUUUGGGUUUUUUCCUCACUCCUGCAGAUAAAUAUUAACAUAAUAUUUAAUAACGAUUGCUCUUUAUAAUGCCAAGAAAGAGCCAAAUUAAAAAAAAAUAGCUUUGACAAACAACUUCACAGAAAAAAGUAUCACAAAACCCGGAGAGACAGCAGAGGUCGUAUAAACAUUGUGCUUCUUUACUUUCGCCGUCUUCAUCUGUUUGUGUUAUACUUGCUAUCUCAUAUAUUUUCUAUUCACAUAUAUAUGGAUCAAUGUACAUGUCAAACCCAAGCCGGGGCGGGUUGGGCCUUGGAGGCAGAAGAGAGGGAAGCAGAAGGACCGUCACCUUGGUUCUCUCCUCAUCUCCUUCCACUCGCCUGUCCCUCGUAAAUCCAUCUGUUUGUCCCCUCAUUAAUAUGUCUCUUUUGUACGUCCCUCUUUGUUUCAGCAGCUCUGAUGGCCCCCGGGAAGGCGGUGGAGGGAGGUGGCUUCCUGCUAAUAUCAGGGGAGAGUUUCUCCCUCUCCCUCUCCCUCUCCCUCCCCUUCCCCCUCCCCCUUCUCCUCCUCCUGUCGUCGGUUCUUGCCAUCUUGUGUUCUCCAUUUGCUUAGGUCCUUCCUGUACGUCUUUGGUAGAGUGUCUGACACGUCGGUGUGCCAGGGGAAUAAGGGGAGCAGGG